GUUUGUUAAAUGAAACAUGAAUUUUAAAUCACAUUUGUAUUAGCAGAUGUAAAUAUUGAAUUUAUUUUUAAUUGGUGUUUCAGCCAUCCUUUUGAUAUCUUAUUCAAUGAUUUGACUAGCAAAUAAAAAAUUUUCCUUAUUCUUUCAAUAGGUCACACAUAACAAUGAAUAAAGUUAACAUUGUUGUAUUGUCCAUCUAGAGAAAAGAACAAACUCGCCUGCAUUGUUAUUUAAAGACACAUAUUUACUGUUACUUGUUGUCAGAUGGUUCCAUGUGUAAUUAUACCCCCGCUUUAAAAAAGGGGGGGUAUACUGUUUUACCUCUGUAAUUAUACCCCCGCUUUAAAAAAGGGGGGGUAUACUGUUUUACCUCUGUCUGUCCGUCAGUCCGUCCGUUCAGUCGUCGUCCGUCCGUCCGUCCAGUCAGUCCGUCCAUGAAACUUUCGUCACAUUUUUCUCAGGACUACACAUCCACCCUUUCUGUAAUUUGGUAUCAACAUUUAUUAUGUCAGCCAUACCGUGUGAUGCGUUUCAAUUCAUCACUUGACAACUUCCUGUUUACCGAACACUUGUCUGAUUUUACACAUGAUAGCCAGUUGAAAAUUUUCGUCACAUUUUUCUCAGAACUACAAUACAAGGAUGUCUGAAAUUUGGUUUCAGGAUUUAUAUAAGUCAGCUAACCGGUGAUGCGUUUUCAGAUUCAUCACUCGACAACUUCCUGUUUACCCGAACACUUGUUGAUUUUACACAUGAUAGAGUUGAAAAUUUUCGUCACAUUUUUCUCAGGAACUACACAAGGAUUUCUGAAAUUUGUUUUCAGGAUUUUAUAAGUCAGCUAUACCGUUGAUGCGUUUUCAGAUUAUCAUCGACAACUUCCUUUUACGAACACUUUGCAUAUUUUUACACUAUUAAUAUUAUCCACUUGCGCGGGGUAUCAUCAGUGAGCAGUAGCUCGUUUUAUUGCUGAUAGACUGUCAAAAAUUGUUACGUAAAAUUUGCAGCCUCGUUUGUAUGAUUAUCUGGUAUCAAUAGAUUUGACAAAGUUCAAUUAAAGAAUAUUUGUAUAUAUGUUAAAAUUAAAACAGAUAUAACUAGAUAAAAGUGUGGUACAUUAACUUUCAUAACUGUGAAUUUAUUAUUGUUCAUGGGAUACCCGUGGAUUUUGGGUGUAUAGAUGAAAUAUAAGUUAAAUGUUCCGGUAGGCUUGUAAUGUAUGUAACCCUUUUAAAAAACAUGAUAUAAAAUAUCUAAAAAAAAUAUAACUUUCCUUCAAUUCACGAAUAUGGCAUCCAGGAAAAAAUAGAUUAAUCCACAUUACUACGUUGGAAGACCUAACUUAGGAUCAAAUCCUGUUGCAUUUGAUAACAUGUUACCCAGCAAAAAUAUUGAUUCCUUUAAUCUGUAAUCCAAAUGUUAGAGAAAAUUAUAAAUUUACAGGCCACAAUAUUAUAAUUUAAAAAAAAAAUCUGUGACAGCAGUAUUUUGCUUGUUAAAAUAUAAAAAUAUAACUCCACUGUAUGUAUUUCAUCCUCAUGUCAAUCAUUAAUUUUUACUGUUGCAAAUUGAUUUUUGUGCUGAUAUGUAAAAUGAGCCAGUAAAUGGAUGUCUGUAAUAUUUCAUAUGAAAUAACCUACAACCAUUCUUCCAUAAUUCCAUUUUAUAUGAUAGAUAUGCUGUAAAAUGAAGUUUUAUAUAAGGGAAACGUCAUCUGUGAUUGUGCAGUGAAUACCAGCAUGUUAUGUUUGUAUAACACAUGAAUUCACAGCCUUUGAAGACAUCUAAUGAACAAUAUAAUUUUCAGGCAUUAAAGUUUUAUUGUUAAAAUACAUUGUCAUAAUAAAUUGGCAGCUUUAUGAUUUCAUGUUAUACAAUUUGAUCAGGGUGUUUAGUGAUGUAUAGUAAAAUUAUUAAAGUACAUUAAUGACUAAACUCGUCGAAUAAAGUAUUUCAAAAUCAUAUGAUUGUUAUAAUUUUAUACUUUAUACAUGUACUGGGUAGAUUUGAACUUUCUUUAAACUGUAAGGUAUGUUAUAUCUUAUUAAUAUUCUGUCAGCCAUACCGUGUGAUGCGUUUUCAGAUUCAUCACUUGACAACUUCCUGUUUACCGAACACUUGUCUGAUUUUACACAUGAAGCCAAGUUGAAAUUUUCGUCACAUUUUUCUCAGGAACUACAAUACAAGGAUUUCUGAAAUUUGUUUCAGGAUUUAUAUAAGUCAGCUAUACGUGUGAUGCGUUUUCAGAUUCAUCACUCGACAACUUCCUGUUUACCGAACACUUGUAUGAUUUUACACAUGAUAGCCAAGUUGAAAAUUUUCGUCACAUUUUUCUCAGGAACUACAAUACAAGGAUUUCUGAAAUUUGGUUUCAGGAUUUAUAUAAGUCAGCUAUACCGUGUGAUGCGUUUUCAGAUUCAUCACUCGACAACUUCCUGUUUACCGAACACUUGCAUAUUUUUACACUAUUAAUAUUAUCCACUUGCGGCGGGGGUAUCAUCAGUGAGCAGUAGCUCGUUUGUAUUGCCUGAUAGACUGUCAAAAAUUGUUACGUAAAAUUUAGAUGCCUCGUUUGUAUGAUUAUCUGUGGUAUCAAUAGAUCUUGACAAAGUUCAAUUAAAAGAAUAUUUGUAUAUAUGUUAAAAUUGAAACAGAUAUAACUAGAUAAAAGUGUGGUACGUUAACUUUCAUAACUGUGAAUUCAUUAUUGUGCAUGGGAUACCGUGGAUUUUGGGUGUAUAGAUGAAAUAUAAGUUAAAUGUUCCGGUAGGCUUGUAUUUGUAUGUAACCCUUUUAAAAAACCAUGAUAUAAAAUAUCUAAAAAAAAAUAUAACUUUCCUUCAAUUCACGAAUAUGGGCAUCCAGGAAAAAUAGAUUAAUCCACAUUACUACGUUGGAAGACCAUACUUAGGAUCAAAUCUAGUUGCAUUUUGAUAACAUGUUACCCAGCAAAAAUAUUGAUUCCUUUAAUCCUGUAAUCCAAAUGUUAGAGAAAAUUAUAAAUUUACAGGCCACAAUAUUAUAAUUUAAAAAAAAAUCUGUGACAGCAGUAUUUUGCUUGUUAAAAUAUAAAAAUAUAACUCCACUGUAUGUAUUUCAUCCUCAUGUCAAUCAUUAAUUUUUACUGUUGCAAAUUGAUUUUUGUGCUGAUAUGUAAAAUGAGCCAGUAAAUGGAUGUCUGUAAUAUUUCAUAUUGAAAAUAACCUACAACCAUUCUUCCAUAAUUCCAUUUUUAUAUGAUAGAUAUGCUGUAAAAUGAAGUUUUAUAUAAGGGAAACGUCAUCUGUGAUUGUGCAGUGAAUACCAGCAUGUUAUGUUUGUAUAACACAUGAAUUCACAGCCUUUGAAGACAUCUAAUGAACAAUAUAAUUUUCAGGCAUUAAAGUUUUAUUGUUAAAAUACAUUGUCAUAAUAAAUUGGCAGCUUUAUGAUUUCAUGUUAUAACAUAUUUGAUCAGGUGUUUUAGUGAUGUAUAGUAAAAUUAUUAAAGUACAUUAAUGACUAAACUCGGUCGAUAAAAGUAUUUCAAAAUCAUAUGAUUGUUAUAAUUUUAUACUUUAUACAUGUACUGGGUAGAUUUGAACUUUCUUUAAACUGUAAGGUAUGUUAUAUCUUAUUAAUAUUCUAUGAGAUUUUUUGUAGAAGAAGGGUUCAAAUCGAAUGAUUAUUAUUUAAGGAAUUGCUUGGGGCUUCGGACAUCAGAGGGCAGUCCUUAUAGAAAACAUUGAAAGUGCAGACCCAGAUUUUGGCGGCUAGUUUCAGUCUAGAAAUUGUAAAUCAUCUUUUUUAAAGUAUACACAUGGAAAAAAGUAUUGCAACACCUUGAUUUUUUAAAAUUUGAAAAAUCAGCCUCUUUUUUUUUAUGAAAUAUAAUAAAAUAUGUGUAUAAUAUUAUUGAAACAUAGUUCACGAUAACAUUGGCAUUGACACGAACAAAAAAUGUUUAAAAAAAAUGAUUUAUAUAACCACAAUUUCAAUAACAAAAUGAAGUGUUUUUUGUACAAAAAAAACGCAUUUGACAAGUUUCACUGUAGUCGAACUUUACAAUGUCAGACAUUUCAAAAUUAAUCUUCAGAUGACUGUUCACAUCAUGGUUGAUCGUUAUACGCCAAAGAAUUAGUACUUUGUGCGCAGCCUCCAUUCAAACGGAUAACCGCAUCUUAACGUCUUCUGAUUCC
rnacentral:lncRNA from 1 species